AUUGAACGCUGGCGGCAGGCUUAACACAUGCAAGUCGAGCGGAGUGAUGGUGCUUGCACUAUCACUUAGCGGCGGACGGGUGAGUAAUGCUUAGGAAUCUGCCUAUUAGUGGGGGACAACAUCUCGAAAGGGAUGCUAAUACCGCAUACGUCCUACGGGAGAAAGCAGGGGAUCACUUGUGACCUUGCGCUAAUAGAUGAGCCUAAGUCGGAUUAGCUAGUUGGUGGGGUAAAGGCCUACCAAGGCGACGAUCUGUAGCGGGUCUGAGAGGAUGAUCCGCCACACUGGGACUGAGACACGGCCCAGACUCCUACGGGAGGCAGCAGUGGGGAAUAUUGGACAAUGGAGGGAAUCCUGAUCCAGCCAUGCCGCGUGUGUGAAGAAGGCCUUAUGGUUGUAAAGCACUUUAAGCGAGGAGGAGGCUUACCUAGUUAAUACCUGGGAUAAGUGGACGUUACUCGCAGAAUAAGCACCGGCUAACUCUGUGCCAGCAGCCGCGGUAAUAC
rnacentral:rRNA from 1 species